CGAAGCACUUCUCAGCCCUU
rnacentral:misc_RNA from 1 species